CAUACUGUGGAGGAGUGGGCACUUGCUCCCUGAUGAGACCCACCUAGAAAAGCUCUGCUUUGAGAUCCUGAACUUUAGAGCACAAUGAGAGGAGAGGACAAGUGUUAGAUGAAAUCCUGUGGGGGAGAAAGAAUGGGCUGUAAAAGGAGAUGAAGAGCUAGUACAUUUCAGCAACUGUGUGGUUGGCACAGUAAAGCCUGUUGAUGGGAGCACCUAAUGCAUCCAGUGAGCAUGAUAUUGGCACCUGUUUCAGGCAGUGGUUCCAAGGCAGACAGCUUGCAAGACCCACUCCAGAAAAGAAAGGCAUCUUUUGUAGGUGUCCACAGGCAACCUCUUGUAGCACUGUCUUGGGCCUGAGGAGGGAUAUGGUCCAGCACCUAUCCAUCUAGUUUGGGAUCAUUACCUACAUACACAAAUGCAUAUCUAUGUAUAGUUUGAUGCAUAACAUCAAGUAGUAGAGAGGAAUAAUGCCAGAGUUUGGGUGAGCACAGACGACCAAAGACUGAGAACACAGAGGGGACAGGGGACGUAUAAACAGAACUACAUCCCAUACUGCCUGUUCACUGCUGAAACUUAAUCACUUCUGUGCAGAUCAUCACCCCAGGUACAGCCAGGAUAUAAACAUCUCCAGUGAUUUUAAGUGUAUUGUUCUCUAGAACAGACCUGGCUGCUCCCACUUCACUGUUUCCGCAAUAUACUCCAAUCAUUGCAGAUAAAAAUAGAAACAUAUUCUGCAUCAAUUCCAGCGUACUUCAAGAAAUGACUGUAAAUGCUUCUUUCAGUUUGCACUUUAUCUUCAUAUCUGAAAUGGUUAUCAAUUCUCUCAAUACUAAGUGACCAGCAUGAUGGAACGGCAAGAGGCAAUUAUUACUGACCUUCAUAGACUAAAAUACCUUAAUAGUCAUAUGUUCUCCUCUCUGCUUCAACAACUCAUUUAGUUCUACAGUAACUCUUCUUCAAGAAAAGAAAACAAACCCCAAAACAUAA